rnacentral:misc_RNA from 1 species
GAAAUGCGAUAAGUAGUGUGAAUUGCAGAAUUCAGUGAAUCAUCGAAUCUUUGAACGCACCUUGCGCUCCUUGGUAUUCCUUGGAGCAUGCCUGUUUGAGUAUCAUGAAAUCCUCAAAGUAAAUCUUUUGUUAACUCAAUUGGUUUCUACUUUGGUAUUGGAGGUCUUUGCAGCUUCACACCUGCUCCUCUUUGUUCAUUAGCUGGAUCUCAGUGUUAUGCUUGGUUCCACUCGGCGUGAUAAGUUAUCUAUCGCUGAGGACACUGUAAAAGGUGGCCAAGGUAAAUGCAGAUGAACCGCUUCUAAUAGUCCAUUGACUUGGACAAUACUUUUAUGAUCUGAUCUCAAAUCAGGUAGGACUACCCGCUGAACUUAAGC